UGGGAAAAAGAAUGAGUAAGGGGAGGCUGCAGACCUGGAGCCGGUAGAUAUAGGCCCCAAGCAGUUUUACGCCCCUGAUGUUCCUCAUGCGUCCAGUAGGGGGAGGCUGUAUAUUAGUAUAUGAGCCUAGUCAUCAAAACAGCAGACCAUAUCUGUAUGAUAGCAGCAGACAUUUUUUGAAGCGAUACGAAUUAAGCUUGCAUGACAUGGCUUCUUCUGGAGGCUGAGGAGAAAUUCCUGCGAGGACCUGUCAUUGACGCAAGUGAGCGGGAGCACUUUGACAGCAGGAUAAAAAAACAAUAAAAGAAGAGUGGCAAGCCAUAGGACAGUCUACAGGAGUCAUGCAGAAUCUACAGGAGUCAUGCUGUUAAGAAAUAAAAGUCAUGGUGUUAAUAAAUAUUUUU